rnacentral:rRNA from 1 species
CCAGCCGCCGCGGUAAUACGUAGGUGGCAAGCGUUGUCCGGAUUUACUGGGCGUAAAGCGAACGCAGGCGGACUGUUAAGUAGGAAGUGAAAGGUUGGAGCUCAACUCUAACACUGCUCCCUAUACUGGCAGUCUUGAGUGGCGGAGAGGGAGAUGGAACGACACGUGUAGCGGUGAAAUGCGUUGAUAUGUGUCGGAACACCAAUGGCGAAAGCAAUCUCCUGGACGCAAACUGACGCUGAGGUUCGAAAGCCAAGGUAGCAAACAGGAUUAGAUACCCUGGUAGUCUUGGCCAUAAACGAUGUUCACUAGGUGUUGGGGCUUUGCCUCGGUGCCGCAGCUAACGCAUUAAGUGAACCGCCUGGGAACUACGAUCGCAAGAUUAAAACUCAAAGGAAUUGGCGGGGGCCCGCACAAGCGGUGGAGCAUAUGGCUUAAUUCGAUGCAACGCGAAGAACCUUACCAGGGCUUGACAUGUAUCUGCAAGCUGCCGAAAAGCAGUCGCUUUCGAAGGUGAUACACAGGUGGUGCAUGGCUGUCGUCAGCUCGUGUUGUGAAAUGUUGGGUUAAGUCCCGCAACGAGCGCAACCCUCAUGUUUUGUUGCCAGCGGGUAAUGCCGGGAACUCGAAACAAACUGCCUCUGUAAAGAGGAGGAAGGUGGGGAUGACGUCAAGUCAUCAUGCCCCUUACGCCCUGGGCUGCACAUAUGCUACAGUGGCCGGUACAAAGGGCUGCUAACUCGCGAGAGCAUGCAAAUCCCAAAAAGCCGGUCUCAGUUCGGAUUGGAGUCUGCAACUCGACUCCAUGAAGUCGGAAUCGCUAGUAAACGCCGGUCAGCAAUACGGCGUUGAAUACGUUCCCGGGCCUUGCACACACCGCCCGUCACAUGACGAAAGUUGGUUUUGCCCGAAGUCAGUGCGCUAACCGCAAGGAAGCAGCUGCCGAAGGUAGAGCCGAUGAUUGGCGUGAAGUCGUAACAAGGUAACCAAG